rnacentral:lncRNA from 1 species
AUUCCCUUUGUAUUUCUUCUUCAUAGAGUCCCGGAUUUGCUUUGGCGUAUCCUUGCAAAGAAUUGUUUCCAAUAUCGAACGAUCAAUGGCUUGGAAAAGAUAGUUCUUUGCCUUCAAGUCUCUCAACUUUUGUGCUUCAUGUUCUGUCUUUUGAGCAUUUGUUAGAACAACAUCCACUCCAGGUUCUUGAAUCCCACCAUCAACGACUGCCCAAAACUCUUUGGACCUCAAAAAGUUUUCCAUGGGCAUGCUCUAAUGGUCAUAAUGGCCAUCUAAACGAGGAAUGGCUGCUUGCACAAAGUUGUUCUCUGAAGUCAUAGAUGAACAAAGUUCUGGGUAAACUCUCUCUCCCUCAAAGAUCUAACCUAGCUCUUGAUACCACUGUUUGAAAUCUGGAAGAAAACUAGACAAACACAAAGCAAUUUUGGGAGAUCAAAUUACUGCAAAAUA